UUCACAAUCAAGUUCGUCUGCUCGAAAAGGAGCAUCUCUAUCUGCACCUUCUUCAGGGAAAGUCAGCUCUGCUACGAGGGUUCCAAGUAAUAGAAUAUCAAGUCAUAAACCUUCACAGGAAUCUGCCACUGCUGAUGGGUCUGAUCCAAAGUUGGUUGAGAUGAUAAAUUCUGUAAUUGUGGAUAGAAGCCCGUCUGUUAAAUGGGAAGAUAUUGCUGGCCUUGAAAAGGCAAAGCAAGCUCUUUUAGAGAUGGUAAUUCUACCAACCAAAAGAAAGGACCUCUUCACUGGCUUGAGAAAGCCUGCUAGAGGUCUACUUCUUUUUGGCCCACCAGGUACUGGAAAAACCAUGCUUGCCAAAGCAGUAGCAUCAGAGUCACAAGCAACCUUUUUCAAUGUGUCUGCUUCUUCGUUAACAUCAAAGUGGGUCGGAGAGGGUGAAAAGCUUGUCAAGACAUUGUUCAUGGUUGCCAUUUCCAGGCAGCCAUCUGUAAUUUUCAUGGAUGAGAUAGAUAGUAUUAUGUCAACUAGGACUACCAAUGAGAAUGAAGCAAGCAGAAGGUUG
rnacentral:misc_RNA from 1 species